UACGAAGGGGGCUAGCGUUGUUCGGAAUUACUGGGCGUAAAGCGCGUGUAGGCGGGUCUUUAAGUCAGGGGUGAAAUCCUGGAGCUCAACUCCAGAACUGCCUUUGAUACUGAAGAUCUUGAGUUCGGGAGAGGUGAGUGGAACUGCGAGUGUAGAGGUGAAAUUCGUAGAUAUUCGCAAGAACACCAGUGGCGAAGGCGGCUCACUGGCCCGAUACUGACGCUGAUGCACGAAAGCGUGGGGAGCAAACAGG
rnacentral:rRNA from 1 species